ACAAAUGUACUUAGUCGCUUGACUGAAAAUUCAUUAAAUGGGGGCUAAAUUGGGCAAUUAGAAAAGUAAACAUAAAAAAUUAACAGAAUAACACCGUUUGUAAAUGUUAUGGCAAAACAGCACACUUUCACCUUGUCGCAUUUCAAAAGUGCGGCAUUUACUUUUACUAAAUGUCGUUAUUCCUAAACGUGACAAGGUAGUUGUCAAGCUGCCAAGUAACAACAUUUAGUAAAUUUAGCGCUUCUAAAGUGCAAUAAGGUAAAAACCAAUCAACCAGUUCUUAAUGGUUAGUAAAACUGAUCGACUAAUUCUGAAAAUAACAUAGAAAAUCUCAAAACUACCAAAAACAAGAGGCCUUGGCGAGAUUUUUUAUAUCUAGAUAUCCGAUGGUCCCUGUAGCGACACAAUAGCUGCUAUAGAGAAUACAACUUCUGAGAACUCUUAUAAAAAUCUAAGCGCGAUCCAACAAUCGAAUAAAAUUUUAUGGUUUUUUUAGCCGUUAUUCUGGUCUAACGCGACCAGACCUCUUCUUGGGCCUAAAACUGUCCCAAUGAUCAUAAAUACAUCUGUUAGGAUAUCCACAUAAUCUGAUUGAGGCAGAUCCUCAUUUAGUUAUGACAAACCCACACCUAACUGUUUAGAAUUACCUGUUAUCACAAGCUUGACUACAUCAUUGACAUUGAAAAAUAAAGAACAACUACUAUAUGAAUAAUAACUUUCUAUUAUUUUAGCUGUAGUCUAUUUUAGAGUUUACAAGACAGAUGUAUAUUUUGACUCAAAGAACAUAUUUGAAAAAAAAAUUCAUUAAAUAAUGGUUUUUAUGUGGAAUGAUUGACCUGUUAAUACAACUGGAUCAAACAGGGCGACUGGUUGAAUCAAAUGAUUAGACUUUCACCUUGUCCCACUUCAGAAGCAUGACAAGGUGAAAGUAUGCUAUUUCACCGAAUCCUUUUCAAAUAGUGUCAUUCUGACAAUAUUUAACAUUUAUUGUGCCAAUUUGACAAAAGAACCUUAAAUGGGACCAUCAUGCUAGGGUUCAUCUAUCAAUUAGUGAGUGGUAUGAGGUAAUGGUGGCGCUAUGGUAGGGGAGUGAGAUUGUUUAAUUUUUUAACACAGCAGUGAACUAUUACAGGAUAAUCACAAAAGUAACUGUCGGAAUGCUAACAAAGGAGAAACCAAGAAAUAAAUGAAAUCUCAAAAGAAAAGUUCAAACAGAUAACCACACCAAAAACAUGUCAUGUUGCUGAUGGCAUGAAAAAGACCUUAGAUCAGUAAACACAUAGACAAGUAACUUGUUGCAUAUCUGUAAAAGGUAACUUAACGGAUGAUCAUUGAUAUUUCAACAUAUAUAUAAAUCACUAAAUAUGGAUAAACAAUUAAUUCUGGCAUGUAAGUAGAGUUAUAGUUAUUAUCAAUAGAGCCAUUAACUUCUAUCAGACCACAGAGCAGCAAUGGAGAGAUCACAAUAGAGUUUAAAAGAUAGUUGAAGAGAAGUAUUGAUGCCCCCAACACAAGGUAAUUUCAAGCUUUACACAGAUGCUACUAUCUUCUCUGAUGCUCAGAAAACAGGAAUGAUGCGCAAUUCAUGAGCACAAGGUUCUUAAGCUAGUCAAAACCAGAGGAGCACAAGCAAGAUGAUUCCAGAAAUAGGAGAAGCAAUGGCAAUUGCAUUUUGGAAUCCACAGAGUAAGAAAUGCAGAUUACACAAGCCUCCUGGUGGGAAAUGAUUUUGUAAUAGUUGAUGCACAACAAGGAAUAACUAUCAAUUAAAUUCACUCUAUUGAUAGAGUACAUCGUGUGUUGCCUGGCUCCCUGGAACUUUUACAGGAUUCUAAUUGCAAAUGGGAAGCCAAUGGAGUGACUUUUUUGAGAAUCAGCAUGCACACCAUUGAGAUUCAGACAACACAUUGUUUUUGUACCUCAUGUAAUGAGAGGUCUACUUUCCUGAAAAGAGUAUAUCAAAGUCACAAAUGCUUAGACACACAAGUUUAUUUUGUUCACAGUUUUGGACCUAAUUUUCCCACAUGGAUCUUUUUCCAACUGUUAUUCACCAGAAUUAAAUGGAAUCAGUUUUUUAUUGCUCCUUAUCCUGGCAAGAAGUAGACCUUGUCAAAACCCAUUGGAGGUAUAACUCCCUCCCUAUCAAACACAGGUGUGUGCAGCCACAUUGAGAACACAAUAUACCUCAAUUGGACAGGAACUCUCCACUAAAUCAAGUCCCAACUCCAUACAGUUUUUGAAAACAAGACGGAGACCUCACAAAUCAAAGAUCAGAUUCGCAGAUGCUUUAGACGAACAAGGAUUGAUGCAUGCAGCUAUAUGGUGGGUUAGCACUGCAUUACAAAAUGAUGACUAAAUUCUCAAAUGUAGGUGAUACAAGAACUAGGAUGUUAUGAAUCAUGACAUCCUGCUACUGCAACUGACUAAGCAACAUUAUUCAUGCUCAUCUCCUGAUAUGCCUGCUCUUUUGCACCAAGCAUCAUGUUUAUAUUACUCAAACUUCACCAUGAUUACAUAUACAGCCCUCUAGCCAUUUCCCCAGUACUUCUUUCCUUAAACCAUCACGUUCUCCUUUCCCUCUUUAUGACUGAUCUGUCUAGCAGAUAAUAAACAAUAUGCUCCUUCAACUCCUAUUCUUGGCAUGUAUUCUAUCAAGCACAUCAAAGCCAUGUAACAACCAUUUCCCUUCUUCCCAGAACAAUCCAGCACAGUCCCUUCUCACAGAUGUUGCUUCCUUAAUCUAACUAACUAUCCACAUUGGAUCUUCAUUCAUGCAAUUAACUACACUCAAUUCUGCCAUCAAUUCAAAUGCAAUCACCUACUACAGUUCCCAAUUUGUUUAACUCUAACCAGACCAUUUCUAAGCUCAUUAGAAAAUUAACACCCCAAUUGUUAUUGGACCAAAUUUUCCUUAGAUCCUUUUGUGAUUACAAACUAGUAAAAUUAGAUACAAAUGCAAACCGAGGCCUUGAUGUUCAAGAAACAGCUAAUACUAGAAACAAUGUCCAAAUACUAACAUAUCAGGGACCCAAGUUGUCCAUAAACCAUAACACAGAACAAAUUCUCACACAGCACAACCCUCUCUUUUA